rnacentral:rRNA from 1 species
UGGGCAACCUGCCCCUAGCUCUGGGAUAACUGCGGGAAACUGUAGCUAAUACCGGAUGUGACACGAGACUGCAUGGUCUUCGUGUGGAAAAGAUUUAUCGGCUAGGGAUGGGCCCGCGGUCUAUCAGCUUGUUGGUGGGGUAACGGCCUACCAAGGCGACGACGGGUAGCUGGUCUGAGAGGACGACCAGCC